GGGCCAGUAGGUUGGUCGUGCCACCGGUACGUACUGGUCUCACUGAUUCCUCCUCCCUGAAGAACCGUAAUGCCAUUAAUUUGGUGUUGCGGGGAAACAGGACUGUUACUUUGAAAAAAUUAGAGUGUUUAAAGCAGGCUAACGCUUGAAUACAUUAGCAUGGAAUAAUGAAAUAGGACGAUCGAUCCUAUUUUGUUGGUUUCUAGGAUUGACGUA
rnacentral:rRNA from 1 species